rnacentral:rRNA from 1 species
UACGGAGGGGGCUAGCGUUAUUCGGAAUUAUUGGGCGUAAAGGGCGCGUAGGCGGCCCGGUAAGUCAAAGGUGAAAUCCCUCAGCUUAACUGGGGAACUGCGUCUGAGACUGGAUGGCUUGAGUGCAGGAGAGGAACGCGGAAUUCCAGGUGUAGCGGUGAAAUGCGUAGAUAUCUGGAGGAACACCGGUGGCGAAGGCGGCGUUCUGGACUGCAACUGACACUGAGGAACGAAAGCCAGGGGAGCAAACGGG